rnacentral:rRNA from 1 species
CGUAGGUGCGAGCGUUGUCCGGAAUUAUUGGGCGUAAAGAGCUCGUAGGCGGUUUGUCGCGUCGGCCGUGGAAACCGAGGGCUUAACUCUCGGCGUGCGGUCGAUACGGGCAGACUUGAGUUCGGCAGGGGAGACUGGAAUUCCUGGUGUAGCGGUGGAAUGCGCAGAUAUCAGGAGGAACACCGGUGGCGAAGGCGGGUCUCUGGGCCGAUACUGACGCUGAGGAGCGAAAGCGUGGGGAGCGAACAGGAUU